UACGGGGGGGGCAAGCGUUGUUCGGAAUUACUGGGCGUAAAGGGCUCGUAGGCGGCCAACUAAGUCGGACGUGAAAUCCCCAGGCUCAACCUGGGAACUGCGUCCGAUACUGGAUGGCUUGAAUCCGGGAGAGGGAUGCAGAAUUCCAGGUGUAGCGGUGAGAUGCGUAGAUAUCUGGAGGAAUACCGGUGGCGAAGGCGGCAUCCUGGACCGGCAUUGACGCUGAGGAGCGAAAGCCAGGGGAGCAAACGGG
rnacentral:rRNA from 1 species